UCUCAAUGAGGAAUAAUUAGAUGACGAGUCUGAUUCAAUAUGAAGAAAAGACUCUUAAAAUUCCAUUCAUGCUAACUGAGA
rnacentral:snoRNA from 15 species